AGGGUUGUGGCUCAGUGGUAGAGUGCUUGCCUAGUAUGCAUGAGGCACUGGGUUCAAUCCCCAGCACCACAU
rnacentral:tRNA from 1 species